UGACAGUGAUGACAAAACAUACCGAAACUGAUCAUUUAUUGAUGAGAUAAACUUUCGGAUCUGAUUACUGAGUU
ensembl:snoRNA